AUGGAGCAGUACGAGGUGGUGGAGCAGAUCGGCCGGGGCGCCUACGGCACCGCCUACCUCGUCCACCACAAGGCCGAGAAGAAGAGGUACGUGAUGAAGAAGAUCCGGCUGACAAAGCAGAACGACAAGUUCCAGCGGACCGCCUACCAGGAGAUGUCCCUCAUGGCCAGCCUCAGCAACCCCUACAUCGUCGAGUACAAGGACGGAUGGGUCGACGAGGGGACCUCCGUCUGCAUCGUCACAAGUUACUGCGAAGGAGGUGACAUGGCGCAGAGGAUCAAGAAGGCAAGAGGCGUCCUCUUCUCGGAAGAGAGGGUGUGCCGGUGGUUCACACAGUUGCUCUUGGCCCUUGACUACCUGCACUGCAACCGCGUGCUCCACCGUGACCUCAAGUGUUCCAAUAUCUUGUUAACCAAGGAUAACAACAUACGACUUGCUGAUUUCGGGUUAGCAAAAUUACUCAUGGAGGAUCUUGCGUCGUCGGUAGUAGGAACCCCAAACUACAUGUGCCCAGAAAUACUCGCGGACAUACCUUAUGGUUACAAAUCUGAUAUAUGGUCGCUUGGUUGCUGUAUGUUCGAGAUUUUAGCACACCGCUCUGCAUUCAAAGCUACAGACAUGGCAACAUUAGUCAACAAAAUAAACAGAUCGUCAAUAUCCCCAAUGCCCCCAAUAUACUCAUCGUCACUGAAGCAGAUAGUUAAGAGUAUGCUGAGGAAAAAUCCAGAACAUAGACCAACUGCUGGGGAGCUAUUGAGACACCCAUAUUUCCAGCCGUAUCUGGCUGAAUCAAUCAACUGCUCUCCAAUCUACCUUCCAGUAAAACCCAACAAGAGUAACCUGGGAGACAAGCAGUCAAGAAAACCAAGUGGCGGCAGAAAGAGAGUCGGCAAAGCCAACGGAUCCAGCGAAGCAUUACAAGCAGCAGCAGAGCAAACAGCGGAAACAAGAGACAGCUCGACAAACUAUUCAGAUCUAUCAACUGUUGGUACCCAGGAUCCCUGCAUUUUGCAAAUGUCAGUGGAUCCUGAAGCCAGAAACAAGGAAGAGCUAACAGCUCAUGUUUUAUCACCUCAACAUGUAGAGGAGAAUUUGGCAGCAACAACUGAUGGACAGAUUGAUGAGACAAUACGUCUUAAAACUAUCAGAACCCGCAGUCCAGUAGAGGCUGCGCCGGUUAACAGUGCAAGUCAAAAGCUUAAUGAGGUACCAGUACCAAAUGAGGAAAUGACGAUUGGAGUGGUGCAAGAGCACAGGAAGGAUGUGAAGACAGAGUCUUGUCAAGGAGUAAAACAAGGCAUGGGUGAUGUAGAUGUUGUGACGGAGGAAUCAUCACCAGUGAGCACGCUGAAAUUGGGAAAUGCAGGCAGCGCACCUGCCGAGUUUGAUCAUCUGAACAUAGUGCAGCAGAGAGCUGAUGCUCUGGAGUCACUUCUUGAGAUCUGUGCAAAGCUCCUGGAGCAGGAGAGGCUUGAUGAGCUCGCAGGUAUUCUUCGACCAUUUGGCGAAGGAGCCGUGUCAUCUAGAGAGACCGCGAUAUGGCUGACAAAAAGUCUCAUGACUCCACCAAAGUUUGGAGGGUCCCCAUGA
rnacentral:rRNA from 1 species